rnacentral:rRNA from 1 species
GACGAACGCUGGCGGCGUGCUUAACACAUGCAAGUCGAACGGUGAAGCGCCUUCCUUUUUGGUGGGUGUGGAUGAGUGGCGAACGGGUGAGUAACACGUGAGUAACCUGCCCCCUUCUUCUGGAUAACCGCAUGAAAGUGUGGCUAAUACGGGAUAUUCUGGGUCUGUCGCAUGAUGGGUCUGGGAAAGAUAUUGUUUCGGUGGGGGAUGGGCUCGCGGCCUAUCAGCUUGUUGGUGGGGUGAUGGCCUACCAAGGCGGUGACGGGUAGCCGGCCUGAGAGGGUGGACGGUCACACUGGGGCUGAGACACGGCCCAGACUCCUACGGGAGGCAGCAGGGGGGAAUAUUGCACAAUGGGCGCAAGCCUGAUGCAGCGACGCCGCGUGAGGGAUGGAGGCCUUCGGGUUGUGAACCUCUUUCGCCAGUGAAGCAGGCCUGCCUCGUUUGUGGGUGGGUUGACGGUAGCUGGAUAAGAAGCGCCGGCUAACUACGUG